UUGAACGCUGGCGGCAUGCUUUACACAUGCAAGUCGCACGGUAACAGGCCGCAAGGUGCUGACGAGUGGCGAACGGGUGAGUAAUGCAUCGGAACGUGCCCAGUCGUGGGGGAUAACUACUCGAAAGAGUAGCUAAUACCGCAUACGAUCUAUGGAUGAAAGCGGGGGACCGUAAGGCCUCGCGCGAUUGGAGCGGCCGAUGUCAGAUUAGGUAGUUGGUGGGGUAAAGGCUCACCAAGCCAACGAUCUGUGGCUGGUCUGAGAGGACGACCAGCCACACUGGGACUGAGACACGGCCCAGACUCCUACGGGAGGCAGCAGUGGGGAAUUUUGGACAAUGGGCGCAAGCCUGAUCCAGCAAUGCCGCGUGCAGGAAGAAGGCCUUCGGGUUGUAAACUGCUUUUGUACGGAACGAAACGGCUCUGGUUAAUACCCGGGGCUAAUGACGGUACCGUAAGAAUAAGCACCGGCUAACUACGUG
rnacentral:rRNA from 1 species